rnacentral:rRNA from 1 species
GACGAACGCUGGCGGCGCGCUUAACACAUGCAAGUCGAGCGAGAACCCACCUUCGGGUGGGGGAAAGCGGCGAACGGGUGAGUAACACGUGGGUAACCCACCCUUGGUACCGGGAUAGCCCGGGGAAACCCGGAUUAAUACCGGAUGGCCCAACAGCUCCUCGGAGCGGUUGGAAAAGGUAGCUUCGGCCUCCGACCAAGGACGGGCCCGCGGCGGAUUAGCUUGUUGGUGGGGUAAUGGCCCACCAAGGCGACGAUCCGUAGCUGGUCGAGAGGACGAUCAGCCACACUGGGACUGAGACACGGCCCAGACACCUACGGGUGGCAGCAGUCGAGAUUUUCUCAAUGGGGGCAACCCUGAAGGAGCGACGCCGCGUGGAGGAUGAAGGCUUUCGGGUUGUAACU